ACAUCGGCCCUUUUCAGGGCCAACAUUUUCCACACGUUCGUUAAAG
rfam:Pediculus humanus corporis strain TSDA 1103172085537, whole genome shotgun sequence.